UACGGGGGGGGCAAGCGUUGUUCGGAAUUAUUGGGCGUAAAGAGCUCGUAGGCGGUUUGUCGCGUCUGCUGUGAAAACUCGGGGCUUAACCCCGGGCCUGCAGUGGGUACGGGCAGACUAGAGUGCGGUAGGGGAGACUGGAAUUCCUGGUGUAGCGGUGAAAUGCGCAGAUAUCAGGAGGAACACCGGUGGCGAAGGCGGGUCUCUGGGCAGUAACUGACGCUGAGGAGCGAAAGCGUGGGGAGCGAACAGG
rnacentral:rRNA from 1 species